AUUGAACGCUGGCGGCAUGCUUUACACAUGCAAGUCGAACGGCAGCGGGGGUGCUUGCACCUGCCGGCGAGUGGCGAACGGGUGAGUAAUGCAUCGGAACGUGCCCAGCAAUGGGGGAUAACACAUCGAAAGAUGUGCUAAUACCGCAUACGCCCUGAGGGUGAAAGCGGGGGAUCGUAAGGCCUCGCGUUAUUGGAGCGGCCGGUGUCGGAUUAGCUAGUUGGUGGGGUAAAGGCCCACCAAGGCGACGAUCCGUAGCUGGUCUGAGAGGACGACCAGCCACACUGGGACUGAGACACGGCCCAGACUCCUACGGGAGGCAGCAGUGGGGAAUUUUGGACAAUGGGCGCAAGCCUGAUCCAGCCAUGCCGCGUGAGUGAAGAAGGCCUUCGGGUUGUAAAGCUCUUUCGCAAGGAAAGAAAUCCUAUCCGCUAAUACCGGGUGGGGAUGACGGUACCUUGAUAAGAAGCACCGGCUAACUACGUGCCAGCCGCCGCCGUAACAC
rnacentral:rRNA from 1 species